UACGUAGGGUGCAAGCGUUAAUCGGAAUUACUGGGCGUAAAGGGCGCGUAGGCGGUACUUCAAGUCAGGCGUGAAAGCCCCGGGCUCAACCUGGGAACCGCGCUUGAGACUGGAGAACUAGAGUUCGGGAGAGGAUGGUGGAAUUCCCAGUGUAGAGGUGAAAUUCGUAGAUAUUGGGAAGAACACCGAUGGCGAAGGCAGCCAUCUGGACCGACACUGACGCUGAGGCGCGAAAGCGUGGGGAGCAAAACAGG
rnacentral:rRNA from 1 species